rnacentral:rRNA from 1 species
CGCUGGCGGCGUGCUUAACACAUGCAAGUCGAACGGGAUCCAUCAAGCUUGCUUGGUGGUGAGAGUGGCGAACGGGUGAGUAAUGCGUGACCGACCUGCCCCAUGCUCCGGAAUAGCUCCUGGAAACGGGUGGUAAUGCCGGAUGUUCCACAUGAUCGCAUGUGAUUGUGGGAAAGAUUCUAUCGGCGUGGGAUGGGGUCGCGUCCUAUCAGCUUGUUGGUGAGGUAACGGCUCACCAAGGCUUCGACGGGUAGCCGGCCUGAGAGGGCGACCGGCCACAUUGGGACUGAGAUACGGCCCAGACUCCUACGGGAGGCAGCAGUGGGGAAUAUUGCACAAUGGGCGCAAGCCUGAUGCAGCGACGCCGCGUGAGGGAUGGAGGCCUUCGGGUUGUAAACCUCUUUUGUUUGGGAGCAAGCCUUCGGGUGAGUGUACCUUUCGAAUAAGCGCCGGCUAACUACGUGCCAGCAGCCGCGG